GAACCAGUACCGUGAGGGAAAGGCGAAAAGAACCCCGGCGAGGGGAGUGAAAAAGAACCUGAAACCGUGUACGUACAAGCAGUGGGAGCACGCUUAGGCGUGUGACUGCGUACCUUUUGUAUAAUGGGUCAGCGACUUAUAUUCUGUAGCAAGGUUAACCGAAUAGGGGAGCCGAAGGGAAACCGAGUCUUAACUGGGCGUUAAGUUGCAGGGUAUAGACCCGAAACCCGGUGAUCUAGCCAUGGGCAGGUUGAAGGUUGGGUAACACUAACUGGAGGACCGAACCGACUAAUGUUGAAAAAUUAGCGGAUGACUUGUGGCUGGGGGUGAAAGGCCAAUCAAACCGGGAGAUAGCUGGUUCUCCCCGAAAGCUAUUUAGGUAGCGCCUCGUGAAUUCAUCUCCGGGGGUAGAGCACUGUUUCGGCAAGGGGGUCAUCCCGACUUACCAACCCGAUGCAAACUGCGAAUACCGGAGAAUGUUAUCACGGGAGACACACGGCGGGUGCUAACGUCCGUCGUGAAGAGGGAAACAACCCAGACCGCCAGCUAAGGUCCCAAAGUCAUGGUUAAGUGGGAAACGAUGUGGGAAGGCCCAGACAGCCAGGAUGUUGGCUUAGAAGCAGCCAUCAUUUAAAGAAAGCGUAAUAGCUCACUGGUCGAGUCGGCCUGCGCGGAAGAUGUAACGGGGCUAAACCAUGCACCGAAGCUGCGGCAGCGAC
rnacentral:rRNA from 1 species